rnacentral:rRNA from 1 species
GGGUUGUGAGGUUAAGCGACUAAGCGUACACGGUGGAUGCCCUGGCAGUCAGAGGCGAUGAAGGACGUGCUAAUCUGCGAUAAGCGUCGGUAAGGUGAUAUGAACCGUUAUAACCGGCGAUUUCCGAAUGGGGAAACCCAGUGUGAUUCGUCACACUAUCAUUAACUGAAUCCAUAGGUUAAUGAGGCGAACCGGGGGAACUGAAACAUCUAAGUACCCCGAGGAAAAGAAAUCAACCGAGAUUCCCCCAGUAGCGGCGAGCGAACGGGGAGCAGCCCAGAGCCUGAAUCAGUGUGUGUGUUAGUGGAAGCGUCUGGAAAGGCGUGCGAUACAGGGUGACAGCCCCGUACACAAAAAUGCACAUGCUGUGAGCUCGAUGAGUAGGGCGGGACACGUGGUAUCCUGUCUGAAUAUGGGGGGACCAUCCUCCAAGGCUAAAUACUCCUGACUGACCGAUAGUGAACCAGUACCGUGAGGGAAAGGCGAAAAGAACCCCGGCGAGGGGAGUGAAAAAGAACCUGAAACCGUGUACGUACAAGCAGUGGGAGCACAGAGCAAUCUGUGUGACUGCGUACCUUUUGUAUAAUGGGUCAGCGACUUAUAUUCUGUAGCAAGGUUAACCGAAUAGGGGAGCCGAAGGGAAACCGAGUCUUAACUGGGCGUUAAGUUGCAGGGUAUAGACCCGAAACCCGGUGAUCUAGCCAUGGGCAGGUUGAAGGUUGGGUAACACUAACUGGAGGACCGAACCGACUAAUGUUGAAAAAUUAGCGGAUGACUUGUGGCUGGGGGUGAAAGGCCAAUCAAACCGGGAGAUAGCUGGUUCUCCCCGAAAGCUAUUUAGGUAGCGCCUCGUGAAUUCAUCUCCGGGGGUAGAGCACUGUUUCGGCAAGGGGGUCAUCCCGACUUACCAACCCGAUGCAAACUGCGAAUACCGGAGAAUGUUAUCACGGGAGACACACGGCGGGUGCUAACGUCCGUCGUGAAGAGGGAAACAACCCAGACCGCCAGCUAAGGUCCCAAAGUCAUGGUUAAGUGGGAAACGAUGUGGGAAGGCCCAGACAGCCAGGAUGUUGGCUUAGAAGCAGCCAUCAUUUAAAGAAAGCGUAAUAGCUCACUGGUCGAGUCGGCCUGCGCGGAAGAUGUAACGGGGCUAAACCAUGCACCGAAGCUGCGGCAGCGACGCUUAUGCGUUGUUGGGUAGGGGAGCGUUCUGUAAGCCUGUGAAGGUGUACUGUGAGGUAUGCUGGAGGUAUCAGAAGUGCGAAUGCUGACAUAAGUAACGAUAAAGCGGGUGAAAAGCCCGCUCGCCGGAAGACCAAGGGUUCCUGUCCAACGUUAAUCGGGGCAGGGUGAGUCGACCCCUAAGGCGAGGCCGAAAGGCGUAGUCGAUGGGAAACAGGUUAAUAUUCCUGUACUUGGUGUUACUGCGAAGGGGGGACGGAGAAGGCUAUGUUGGCCGGGCGACGGUUGUCCCGGUUUAAGCGUGUAGGCUGGUUUUCCAGGCAAAUCCGGAAAAUCAAGGCUGAGGCGUGAUGACGAGGCACUACGGUGCUGAAGCAACAAAUGCCCUGCUUCCAGGAAAAGCCUCUAAGCAUCAGGUAACAUCAAAUCGUACCCCAAACCGACACAGGUGGUCAGGUAGAGAAUACCAAGGCGCUUGAGAGAACUCGGGUGAAGGAACUAGGCAAAAUGGUGCCGUAACUUCGGGAGAAGGCACGCUGAUAUGUAGGUGAAGUCCCUCGCGGAUGGAGCUGAAAUCAGUCGAAGAUACCAGCUGGCUGCAACUGUUUAUUAAAAACACAGCACUGUGCAAACACGAAAGUGGACGUAUACGGUGUGACGCCUGCCCGGUGCCGGAAGGUUAAUUGAUGGGGUUAGCGCAAGCGAAGCUCUUGAUCGAAGCCCCGGUAAACGGCGGCCGUAACUAUAACGGUCCUAAGGUAGCGAAAUUCCUUGUCGGGUAAGUUCCGACCUGCACGAAUGGCGUAAUGAUGGCCAGGCUGUCUCCACCCGAGACUCAGUGAAAUUGAACUCGCUGUGAAGAUGCAGUGUACCCGCGGCAAGACGGAAAGACCCCGUGAACCUUUACUAUAGCUUGACACUGAACAUUGAGCCUUGAUGUGUAGGAUAGGUGGGAGGCUUUGAAGUGUGGACGCCAGUCUGCAUGGAGCCGACCUUGAAAUACCACCCUUUAAUGUUUGAUGUUCUAACGUUGACCCGUAAUCCGGGUUGCGGACAGUGUCUGGUGGGUAGUUUGACUGGGGCGGUCUCCUCCUAAAGAGUAACGGAGGAGCACGAAGGUUGGCUAAUCCUGGUCGGACAUCAGGAGGUUAGUGCAAUGGCAUAAGCCAGCUUGACUGCGAGCGUGACGGCGCGAGCAGGUGCGAAAGCAGGUCAUAGUGAUCCGGUGGUUCUGAAUGGAAGGGCCAUCGCUCAACGGAUAAAAGGUACUCCGGGGAUAACAGGCUGAUACCGCCCAAGAGUUCAUAUCGACGGCGGUGUUUGGCACCUCGAUGUCGGCUCAUCACAUCCUGGGGCUGAAGUAGGUCCCAAGGGUAUGGCUGUUCGCCAUUUAAAGUGGUACGCGAGCUGGGUUUAGAACGUCGUGAGACAGUUCGGUCCCUAUCUGCCGUGGGCGCUGGAGAACUGAGGGGGGCUGCUCCUAGUACGAGAGGACCGGAGUGGACGCAUCACUGGUGUUCGGGUUGUCAUGCCAAUGGCACUGCCCGGUAGCUAAAUGCGGAAGAGAUAAGUGCUGAAAGCAUCUAAGCACGAAACUUGCCCCGAGAUGAGUUCUCCCUGACUCCUUGAGAGUCCUGAAGGAACGUUGAAGACGACGACGUUGAUAGGCCGGGUGUGUAAGCGCAGCGAUGCGUUGAGCUAACCGGUACUAAUGAACCGUGAGGCUUAACCUUACAACGCCGAAG